rnacentral:tRNA from 1 species
GGGGCAUUAGCUCAGCUGGGAGAGCGCUUCGCUGGCAGUGAAGAGGUCAUCGGUUCGAGCCCGAUAUGCUCCA